AUGCAAGUCGAACGCAGUAGCAAUACUGAGUGGCAGACGGGUGAGUAACAUGUGGGAAUCUGCCUUGUGGUUCAGGACAACAUUGGGAAACCGAUGCUAAUACUGGAUAAGCCCUUACGGGGAAAGUUUUAAUGCCAUAAGAUGAGCCCGCAUUUGAUUAGUUAGUUGGUGAGGUAAUGGCUCACCAAGACAAUGAUCAAUAGCUGAUCUGAGAGGAUGAUCGGCCACACUGGGACUGAGACACGGCCCAGACUCCUACGGGAGGCAGCAGUGGGGAAUCUUGCACGAUGGAGGAAACUCUGAUGCAGCGAUGCCGCGUGAGUGAAGAAGGCCUUUGGGUUGUAAAGCUCUUUUGUAGGAGAAGAUAAUGACUGUACCCUAAGAAUAAGGUCCGGCUAACUUCGUGCCAGCAGCCGCGGUAAUACGAAGGGACCUAGCGUAGUUCGGAAUUACUGGGCGUAAAGCGCGCGUAGGCCGUUGAGUUAGUUAAUUGUGAAAUCCCAAAGCUUAACUUUGGAACUGCAAUUAAAACUGCUCGACUAGAGUUUGAUAGAGGAAAGCGGAAUACAUAGUGUAGAGGUGAAAUUCGUAGAUAUUAUGUAGAACACCAGUUGCGAAGGCGGCUUUCUGGAUCAACACUGACGCUGAGGCGCGAAAGUAUGGGUAGCAAAGAGGAUUAGAUACCCUCGUAGUCCAUACCAUAAACGAUGAUUGCUAGAUGUUGGAAAUUUAUUUUCAGUAUCGCAGCUAACGCAUUAAGCAAUCCGCCUGGGGAGUACGACCGCAAGGUUAAAACUCAAAUGAAUUGACGGGGACCCGCACAAGCGGUGGAGCAUGUGGUUUAAUUCGAAGAUACGCGCAGAACCUUACCAACCCUUGACAUGUCUGUCGCGAGUUUAGGAAACUAGACUUUUCGGUUCGGCCGGACAGAACACAGGUGCUGCAUGGCUGUCGUCAGCUCGUGUCGUGAGACGUUGGGGUUAGUCC
rnacentral:rRNA from 1 species